rnacentral:rRNA from 1 species
GACGAACGCUGGCGGCGUGCUUAACACAUGCAAGUCGAACGGGCGGAUUUGGUAGCUUGCUAUCAUUGAAGCUAGUGGCGAACGGGUGAGUAACGCGUGAGGAACCUGCCUCAAAGAGGGGGGACAACAGUUGGAAACGACUGCUAAUACCGCAUAAGCCCACGGCUCGGCAUCGAGCAGAGGGAAAAGGAGCAAUCCGCUUUGAGAUGGCCUCGCGUCCGAUUAGCUAGUUGGUGAGGUAACGGCUCACCAAGGCGACGAUCAGUAGCCGGCCUGAGAGGGUGAACGGCCACAUUGGGACUGAGACACGGCCCAAACUCCUACGGGAGGCAGCAGUGGGGAAUAUUGCACAAUGGGGGAAACCCUGAUGCAGCGACGCCGCGUGAGUGAAGAAGUAUUUCGGUAUGUAAAGCUCUAUCAGCAGGGAAGAAAAUGACGGUACCUGACUAAGAAGCCCCGGCUAACUACGUG